rnacentral:rRNA from 1 species
UACGUAGGGUGCAAGCGUUGUCCGGAAUUAUUGGGCGUAAAGAGCUCGUAGGCGGUUUGUUGCGUCGGCUGUGAAAUCCCGAGGCUCAACCUCGGGUCUGCAGUCGAUACGAGCAAACUAGAGUGUUGCAGGGGAGACUGGAAUUCCUGGUGUAGCGGUGAAAUGCGCAGAUAUCAGGAGGAACACCGGUGGCGAAGGCGGUUCUCUGGGCCUUACCUGACACUGAGGAGCGAAAGCGUGGGGAGCAAACAGG